rfam:Heterocephalus glaber contig122464, whole genome shotgun sequence.
AGGGAUGUAGCUCAGUGGCAUAGCGCCUGCCUGGCAAGUAUGAGGUCCUGAGUUCGAUCCCCAGUCCCCCCA